rnacentral:ncRNA from 1 species
UUGAGCCGUAUGAUGAGAAAUUGUCAAGUACGGUUCUUAGGGGAGGGUAGGUAUGGUGACAUACCUCCUUUACCCGACAAUGCUUGCUUAUCCUGC